rnacentral:rRNA from 1 species
UACGUAGGGUCCAAGCGUUAAUCGGAAUUACUGGGCGUAAAGCGUGCGUAGGCGGUCUCGCAAGUCCGAUGUGAAAUCCCCGGGCUUAACCUGGGAACUGCGUUGGAAACUAUGAGGCUAGAGUGCGGCAGAGGGGGGUGGAAUUCCAGGUGUAGCAGUGAAAUGCGUAGAGAUCUGGAGGAACACCGAUGGCGAAGGCAGCCCCCUGGGCUAGCACUGACGCUCAUACACGAAAGCGUGGGGAGCAAACAGG